GACGUAGGGGGCGAGCGUUAUUCGGAAUUAUUGGGCGUAAAGCGCUCGUAGGCGGGAUCGAUAGCCCGUGAAGAAAGACCUGGGCUCAACUCAGGGAACGGCACGGAUACUUCGAUUCUUGAGGCAAUCAGAGGGUGAUGGAAUUCCCGGUGUAGCGGUGAAAUGCGUAGAGAUCCGGAAGAACACCGGUGGCGAAGGCGGCCUGCUGGGCAGUUGCUGACACUGAGGCGCGACAGCGUGGGGAGCAAACAGG
rnacentral:rRNA from 1 species